GAAGGAGGGGGAUUGAGGGAUGAAUGGAGGAAGGGAGAAAAGGGAGAGGGAGGUGUUUAAGACAGUGGCACCUCCAGUUCUUCUGCUUCCUCUGGCAAAAGAAUCAAGAUUUCCUUGAUUUACCAUGCAGCCAGGUCUGCUGCAGAGACCCCACCUUUCACCACAUGGUAGAAAUGGAGGAAUGUUAAUGUCUGGUUUCUAUUCUGAUAGAAUUAGGAUUCCGUUUCUGUAGUGUAAGUCAUCGAGUAAGCAGAAUCCAAGGCACCCUGAAAAAAAAAAGCUUCAGGACAAACACAUAAUAACAUAUGGUCUUGCAGAGCUGUAAUUCUGGUGUUCAGGAAGCUGAGGCAGGAGGAUCACUGUGAAUUCAAGGUCUCCCCCAGCUUCAUGGACGCUGGAAGGUAAGUACCCAUCAAAAAACUAAUUUCCCACGCUGGGAGAUUUUAUCAACCACUCUAGUGCCUCAGCUCUCUUUGCCUCCACAACUCCAGAGCUGGCUUUCUUUGUGUGCUUGGCACAGCAGGGGGCAUCUGUGUGCACUGCAGAUGUUCUUACCCAUGCUCCUUUUUGGCAGGCGUCUCUGUGAUGACUAAUAUUGGCGCUGUCGUGAAGCCCAGUCAGCUCUUGCUUGCAAGCUUUUGCCAGCAGCCUCACCUUCAAGAUUCGAAAACCCACACAGUUUACAAUCCCAUCCAAGGCACCUCUGGGAAGACCUUAAAGUUUCAUUUGUUAGAAGGUGGGAAAGGGCUGGCAAGAUGGCUCAGUGAGUAAAGGUGCUUGCUGCCAAACCUGAUGACUUGAGUUCAAUUCCCUGGGUCCGCAGGAUGAAUGGAGAGAACUAACUCUUGCAAGUUGGUUCUUCUGAUUCUAAUGAGUGCUGUUAUGAGGUCAGCUGUCAGUGUUGAUGUGUCUCCCUCAACAAUCUGCACUAUGGCUUUACUCCCAUCAAGCUACCUCACUUCUUUUGUGAGUCUGUGUGAGCCCUGUUUUCAAUUCUUCGUAUAAGAAGCCUAGUAACCAGAACUACCUGACCCCAGACCCUAACCAACAAUAACAGUUCAGUGUCCUAGAAAAAUGAGGAUAGCUAAUUACUGGAAUAGCCAAGAUUCCCAAGAUUCCUGAAUGCUGUGCUGUCUAUAUUAUAUUGACAGAGGAAGAUUAUAAACUAGAAAUGAAGGCUUUGUGCUGGCACCCAAUGACUAUAACCCUUAAUGUCACAAUCUCACGUGAACCUGGGUUGGAACCCCAAACAAGACCCUGACUCAGUUGUCUUUGUAUUGUGAUGACCAAACAUGACUUGGUGAGGGAAGUUUAUUUGACUUAUACAUCCAGAUCAGAGUCUCUCAUAAAAGGAAGUUGGGGCAGGAACCUGGAUACAAGAACUGAUGCAGAGGUCACAGAGGAACCCUACCCAUUGGCUCACCCAGCCUGCUUUCUGAUACCACCCAGGACCACCUUCCCAGGAGUGACACUACUCUGCAGAGGGCUGGGCGAUCCCUCAUCAAUGAUUAAUGGAGAAAAUGCCACACAGACUUCCCAGCAGGCAAUCCAAUGCAGGCACUUUCUCAACUUUCCCUCUUCACAGAUGAUCCAAGCUUGUAUCCAGUUGACAACAAAACCCCACAAAAAUGAAACAAAAAACAAACAAACAAACAAACAAACAAAAAACAAAACAAAACAAAAAACUAACUGGCCCAACCCUGGAUUGCAAAACAGGGCCCUGAGAGAAAUUACAGAAGGCUUUUCAAUCCCUUUCUCAAACCCUGCUGUGUGAACCAUGUUGGAGGAGCUUGUUCUGAGAUGCUCCAUGCAAAUGAGAUGGGAAAGAGAAAGGACAGAACUACCUGACUCACAGGCACCAUCUGGAUGUCCUGCCUCAGCUUGCCCACAAAAGCAAUGGCAGUGGGCGAGAAGAAACCAAAGAGAACCUGUACUGUCAGGGUGACUUGGGGUGGAGCAGACGUUGCACACUGGAGCGAAUGCCACCGAGUCAGUGACGCAGAGUCUCCAGUUAUCGGUAAGCACCGCUGACAGAAGAGCUUGCAGAUACAGGCUGUGGACGCAAGCCACAGCACGUGCAUCCGUCUCAGCUGAUAUCACUCUGCCCAUCGAGGAAGCAGCAGGAAACUACAGCACACCACCAGAAGUUUUUUGGUCCAUUUCUCUCAAAUGAAGCCAGCUCAACCACACAACAUAAGGUAGACCAAUGCAUGUGUGUUGUUAGCAACGAAUCCUUCACCACAUGUCCUUUCAUGUGCUUGCUUUAGCAGAACAUCCUUUACCUGUGUCUACUUCAGCUAAACAUUUCUUCAUGAGUCUGCCUCAGGAAAAACACCAUCCAAAUAACUGACUUUCCAAAGAACUCUUAAGGUACCCCUUGAUUGCCAUCUUGUCUAUUCUCACCUUGUUUUCUGGAGUCACCUCCCUUUUGGCUAAAUUUUUGGAGGGCCCCUCCUCAGUAGAAACAGCAAGCUUUGGUCCAUUGGCCCCUCUUGUCCUGCACAUGUUGAGAGACCAGUCCUAAAGGAAGAUGGACUCACUGACUUGUUUUGUUUGAUCUCCACAGGCAAGACAGACAUGGUAUAGGUUGGCCCCAGGACCUGUAACUCCUCCCAGCUCCAAAUGCAGGCUUCCAGGUUGGGGUGAAGCAGGAACCCUGGAGCCAGGGUCAGGGAGGAGACAGAGGUGCCAUACUGAACUAUACUACAAGAACCUGUCCAGUCAGGUUAACCCUGGAGCCAGAAGCCUGAGAACUUCCCUUUUUCUGUUCUCCUUUCACUUGUCCACAUGAUAAAUACAGUUAGCCUCUUUCUGCAAAACCUAAAUCCUCUGUCUUCCCCACUAACUACGCCAAUUCCCUCAAGCCCUGUGACUUCUCUGGAAUAAAUCCAUUGUGUAUGGCUGAAAAUAGUGAUCUGAAGUCCUAAGGAAGAGAAAUGUGGUGAACUUGAGGAUCAUGUAGUUUGUCCCAGGCCGUUCUGAGGUACAGACUGAUGUUCUGAGGUACAGCAGAACAAAGCAAAACCAAAACAAAAGCCUCAAUAAGGAAAGAAAAGGGGUAGGGGGAGGAAGGGAAAGAAGGGAAGAAGUUAACUUGCUUUAGAACUGUGCCAGGUUCCCCACCUCUCCCUAGUCCCUGCCACCUCUCCAGGAGAGGAAAAAAGAUGGCGUUCCAGCUAGGGAUAUAUGGACAGUGUCUGAAAAUGAAGUCUUAAUCAAAGCUCACUGUUACAGAGUUGUCUCUUUGUCUCACCUAAGUCAAUCCAAACUCAAACCUUUGAGACAGCCAUACUGUAGUAUGGGAAAGAAUUGUCUGUCAGACCACAACCAGGACCUGAGAGUCUCAAUUAAAACUGCUGCCGAGAUAUGCCACUGUCUUAGCCACUGUCAGAAAGGCUUUGUGGGUUCCCCCAAAUCACUAACCCCCUCCACCCAUCACUAAACUGUCUAGCUGUGAUUAUUUGUCUGCCCUUUGUGCCCUUCUUUAAAACAUAAUCUAAAUGACCUUUCUUCAGUAAUAUCGACUUCACACUGAAGUCUGUAAAGUAAGAGUGUUAAAAUAAGGAAUCUCUGGAAAUCAAACAUUUAUUCCAAAGUCUACGUUGAAAUUACUUCAACCUUGCCUGUGAAGACACUAUCGCUUUGAGGACCCUUGAUUUUGAGAAAAAGCAGAACCAAAUGAUUAUCAGCAAUUUCAGAAACAAACAAUGCUAGAUGCCCAGAGCCCUGUCUUUAAGCUGGAUUUCUCUCUAUGUGAGAAACAGACUUGCCUUGUUAGAUCCUGAGCAGGUCAGAUCUCUCACCGCUUUGGCUGCUGUCUUAACAGAAGAAAUGUCAGACUUUCUGUGAGCGAUAAGAAUGUGGCCUACAGCAGAGACCUCCUGAUUUCACUUCAACUCCACCAGGAGGCUGAAGACCAGACACACUGAGAUGCACCUACGGUGGGAAAACCUGGUCUAUAGAACAGCACCCACCAUGACCUGAGGUCCCUUGGAGAGCUGUGUCUAUGUGAAGGAUCCUGCAGACUGCCUGCCCUGGGCUGGAGAGACCACUGAGGCUGACUGGAACAUUGCAAGCAAACUGCUAGAAUUAUCUUCUGUUCUCUUUAGCCCUUUCAUAUAGAUUAUUGUCCCUUCUAGACAUCCUUACUUAGCAUCCUUACUUUUAUCAUUUAACUUAAAGUAGCGCUAUUCUCUACCAACCUUAAAGCUAAAAUUGUGCUCAAAGAGUUGUCCUACCUUGCUUCUGUGUUCUUGCUACCAUGUUGCUUCUACUCAAUGACCCACUCGUGUAUCCUUUAGGUUCAUGAAUUUGUGACUUCCUUUUACUCUGUGAUCACAUCAGCUUAUGCAAUCUCUUCUAAUGGUGGCACAUGUCUUUCAAGGAAAUUUGAAUCCAGGUCCCCAAGCUGUGGUCAGUUAUAUCAUCUGAACCAGUAUAAACCAGUUUGUUUACUUCUGUUUUGUUUUGUUUUUAUUUUUUGAGAGAAAGAGAGGAUUUCUCUCUAGGAUGUAGCCCAGGUUGGCCUAGAACUCACUACAUAACCCAGACUUGUUUCUAACUCACAAUCCUCCAGUCUCAGCUUCCUGAGUGCUAAGAUUACACUUCUGCGACAUUAUUUCAAGCAGGCUAGUUUUCUAUUUCUUUGAAGCAUGGUUGUCAUUUUAUGCCAGUAACAUUUAUAUACUUAACCUAUUUUAAAAGGGGGCCUGGGGCUGGAGAGAUAGAUGACUUAGUGUCUAAGGGUACUGAUUGUUCUUCCAGAGUCGAGUUCAAUUCCCAGCAACCACAUAGUGGCUUACAACCCUCUGUAAUGGAAUCCAAUGUCCUCCUCUGGUGUGUCUGAAGACAGCUACAGUGUACUCAUAUACAUAAAUAAAUAAAUAAAAUCUUUUAAAACUAAUAAUAAAAACAAAAGAGAAAGGACUUUAGGGCUCCACCCAUCAUGCCCUAGCAUUAUACAUAGGCUCACUGACUGUUGGCCCAAUAAGGAGAGGAAAAGGGUCAGCCUUUGAUUACAAGCUUAGGAAGCUCACUUCUAUUGAAAGGUUGUUCAAUCCGGUGAUGCCUUGGUCCCCUCAGAUGGUUCCUGUUCCAAGGGAUCAAAAGUGGAAGCCAAAACAGUCAAGGCCACCUCCAACAGGUCCCAAGUAUAGGUAAACAUUCUGUCCUGCAUGGACCACUGUGGAAAUGUAGGAAUAGGAACAAAGGGGCUCUCAGUUGUUUGUUCUUAAAGCCUUUGUGCCUUGGGACAAGUUGGUCUGAACCACUGUAAUAGUGAAGGCAACCAACUCUGUGUCCUUUCAAGUUUUGUAAUCGAUCCCACCGGAAUUACUGACAGGAGUUACGGGAACAGAAGGGGCAUACAAAUGCACUCUGUGCAAGCGUGUGGGAGGGGCAUCAUGGGAAUGCAAAGUGAGGCCUUAGCGAUUUGAAGGAGAUUUAGCUUAAGUGCCCUCUUCAUAGAAGAGGGAGCCAGGUGUGGAGAUGGGGCUGUGAGCACAUCUGAGGCAAUAGUGACAGAUUCCUCCUCCUGUGUCUGUUAAACAUACUUGAAAAUAAAUAGGCUCGAACAAAGUAAGCCCUAGGAGACAUGGUGACAAGUUAAGGGAAAGUGGGGGGGGCCAUGGUGGAGUCAAGAGGUGAAAGUACAAAGGCUGCCUUUGCCAUGCAAAGUCUGUCCUGGAAGAGAUGUCCAGAGAACAUACGCAACAUCUAUCAGGGCAGACGUGAGAUGGUGAAAGCAUUUGAGUUUCUCAGACAGUGAUUAAUCUUCCCUGUUUAAGAAAAUUUAGGGAGCUAUUACUUUCCUUCUGAAGAACAUCCUCUGCAAUUUCAGGCAAAGCCCUACCCAGGGCUUCAGGGGGAUAGGAUACUGGAAAACCCUAAGGCUGCUUCUUACACUGAUGCUAAGCAAUGCACGCUGGGUACCAUUUUCAGAAUUCCAACAGUGCCAUCCAUAGCUGGAAGCCAGCAUCGCACCAGAGCAGAGCUAGCUGCUCUUGUACUCCUGAGAACUCUCUCUGUACCCUACUGAGACCAUUGUGCUCUGUGCUCUAACUCACGCCCUAGAUGGGUGAGAAGAUUCCCGAACUCCACCCACAUCAGAAGGGGAACAUUCAUUUCAGCUGAGCUUUUUAAACUUCUAAGUGAUGUUCAUCACCAGUCGAAGUGACUUUUUUGCAUAACAGCUCGAACUACACCACUUUAAUGACAGCCUAGAUGGACUUAAAAAGUAUAUCAUGAAACAAUAUUCAGAACUUAAAGCACUAAUUGCAAUUAUAUAAGAGUCUUAUUUUGUUUAGUUUUACCCUUGAGAGACAAAGUCUUGCUAUGUAGCUCUGGCUGGGCUGGAACUCACUGUACAGCCCAGGCUAACCUUGAAUUCUCCUGCCUCUGCAGCUCAAGAGCUGAGAUUGCAGGCAUGAGCCACCAUGCCUGGCUGUCACUGUUGAAUUGUGGAAAAUAAAAGCACUUCCCCACCCCCUUGUAAACUUUUUUUUUUUUAAUCUUUUGUCUCUACUGCCCAGGUUCUGAUGUGUCUUCCUUACUUGUAAGAAGAGCUGGUUGCUGGAUCAGAGUUCCCCUUCUCCUCUUUCCUUUCGUUUUGAAAUCACUCAGUUUCCCAGAGUCUGCCAUGUCAAAUCCAUGACUUGUAGGUCAGACAAAUGCUUGCUUUGUUCAGACACAUCCAGUCACCUUCGCCAUCCUAUGUCACCCUGUUCUACACAGGAGAUGAUUGCCAACUGCUGACUGGUUUGGAUUUGUUGGUGAGUUUUUGUUUUUGUUUUUUGCUUGUUUGUUUACUUUUUCUUUUUCUUUUUCUUUUUUGUUUUAUUUUUAACCUCUCACUGUGUUUUAUCUCACCAGAAUUUGAGUCGUGUCACCGAAAUAAGGCCAUGUGAGUUUUGCCACCUGUAAGGUGCCACCUUCCUCUGUACCUAGCAAUCUUAAACAUGUGCUCUGUGGAUCUUUCUGGUUCUUCUCACAUCAAUGAUGGUCAGAUUUCUGAAACUGGCAUGUGCAGUGACUUCUAGAAGUUUGCCAGCUCCUCUCUUAUUGAAAACCUAAGACAGCAGCUCUCAAAAUGCUAGUUUCAAAUAAACAGACAAAAUGGGGCAGGGCUGCUAGAUGAAAAGCAGUAUAGUGGACAUAUGUGAAGACUUUCUUAAUUCAAACCAGUCUAGUUAUGUGUAUGUACUAAGGCAUGCAUGUGUGCUAUUUGCAAAACAAGAGACAGUAAAAAGUAGGUAGACAUUAUAUAACAUGACUAUUAAUAUUGUAACUGUACAAUGAUAUUAUAGUGCAUUUUUUUUCUUUAAAUUUUUAUUUCUUUAGUUGGCUGUGCUAUCUAUGCCUGGAACAGGAAUAUUUGGGUAGCAAGGUUAUUGAGAUGAAGUCAGUCUGGGCUAUGCACUGAGAUCCUUAUCUCAAAAAGCAGAAAGCAAACAAAAGCGGCUCACACAACUUACUUGUUUGAGAUAAUACAGAUGAAACCGCAAGAUGUCUGGAAGUAACGUCAGAGUUCUCCAACAGGUGCUUGCAGGAGGGAGGGGGAAAUUCAGAAAGUGCUUAGAGGAAGGAGGGGAAGUCCAGCAGGUGCUUAGAGGGGGUGGAGAAUCCAGCAAGUGUUUACAGGGAGGGGGGAGAAUCCAGCAGGUGUUUACAGGGAGCGGGGAGAAUCCAGCAGGUGUUUACAGGGAGGGGGGAGAAUCCAGCAGGUGUUAACAGGGAGGCAGGAGAAUCCAGCAGGUGUUACAAGGGAGUCCAGCAGGAACUUAGAGGAGUCCAACAGGUGUUUACAGGGAGGGGAGGGAGAAUCCAACAGGUGUUUACAUGGGUGGAUGGGGAUCCAGCAGGUGUUACAAGGGAGUCCAGCAGAAACUUAGAGGAGUCCAACAGGUGCUUAGAGGAGAGGAGUCCUGUGGGUGUUUAGAGAGAGAGGGGGGAAUCUAGCAGGUGCUUACUGGAGAGGAGUUCUGCAGGUGUUUAGAUAUUUAAGUGGUGGUGGGGAGUGGGGGUAGGAAUCUAGUAGGUAUUUAAAGAAGAGGAGUCCAGCAGGUGCUUAGAGGAAGGAGGAGGAGUCUAGCAGGUGCUGGAGGAAGGAGGAGGAGUCCAGCAGGUGCUGGAGGAAGGAGGAGGAGUCCAGCAGGUGCUGGAGGAAGGAGGAGGAGUCCAGCAGGUGCUGGAGGAAGGAGGAGUCCAGCAGGUGCUGGAGGAAGGAGGAGGAGUCCAGCAGGUGCUGGAGGAAGGAGGAGGAGUCCAGCAGGUGCUGGAGGAAGGAGGAGGAGUCCAGCAGGUGCUGGAGGAAGGAGGAGGAGUCCAGCAGGUGCUUAGAGGAAGGAGGAGGAGUCCAGCAGGUGCUGGAGGAAGGAGGAGGAGUCCAGCAGGUGCUGGAGGAAGGAGGAGGAGUCCAGCAGGUGCUGGAGGAAGGAGGAGGAGUCCAGCAGGUGCUGGAGGAAGGAGGAGGAGUCCAGCAGGUGCUGGAGGAAGGAGGAGGAGUCUAGCAGGUGCUGGAGGAAGGAGGAGGAGUCUAGCAGGUGCUGGAGGAGUGCAGAGGCAUAAACAAUUGUAUUAGCAUCUGCUGAAACUAAGAGACAGGCACAUGGAAGUUCAGUAUCUUUCUCUUUUGUACACUCUUUGCAUCUUUCCAUAAGUACCCAUUUAAAAUAAGAUCAAUGCAAAAGGCAGUUCUUUCUCCAUGGUUACCUUGGUCUGGAUUUUCACUGAAAGAGUUGGUCCAGCUAGCUCUCCCAGCCCCACCUUCUUUAUUUGAUUUUUGGAGUCCCCUCCUCCCAACUGAGGGUGGCAGUUAGAAUCACUCCUUUCUUUCUAGCUUAUCUGUUUUUAAGAAUUCGACACUUUACGCUUUCCUGGCGAUCCUUUCAUUCUUCCCGACUAACCCAUGUCCAUUCGUUUGUAUCAAUCACUGAUCUGCAAACCUACCUUCUAUCAGCAGCCUCCAGUGGCCAAACUGGGCUGAGACACAGAUCAAUGCCUCAGUCAACCCACAUCAGAGAGGCUUCUCCUUGCACAAGAUUGGAAUUAACACAGAGAUUCACAACUGGAUAAUGGGUAAAGAGUAAGAGACUUAGGAGCACUCAACCCUAAAUGAGGGUCCCCACUCUCCAAAAUGCUCAAGAAUCUAUGCAGAAGGCAGAAGAGGAGGUGGAAACGCUGUAAGAGACAGAGAGGUGGUGGAUAACUCCAAGGAACCAGUGCCUUGAAUUGAUACACAUAUGAUCAGAGAUUUCAGCAGCAUACCCAAGACCUGCCCAGGUUCAACCAUAUGAUCAUGUUCCCAACCUACAUUUUAGAAGUAUCGAAAGUCCAUUUCCUUCCAGUAUGCUAAUGUCCCUCACAGGACAGACAGGCAAGUGCAUUGCCACAUUAGUAGGGGAUGUAGCUUAGACUUGACACUUUCUUUGAUGUGGAAUUUGCAUGCUCAUGGUGAGGAUAUGUGGUGAUUUGAAUAGGAGUGGCACUAUUUAGAGGCAUGAUCUUGUUGGAGUAGGUUUAGGCUUGUUGGAGGAAAUGUGUCACUGUGGGUGUGGGCUUUAAGACCCUCAUCCUAGCUGUCUGGAAGCCAGUCUUCUCCUAGCUGCCUUCGGAACAAGAGGAUGAACUCUCAGCUCCUCCAGCCCCAUGUUUGUCUGGACACUGCCAUGCUACUGCCUUGAUGAUAAUGGACUGAACCUUUGAACCUAUAAGCCAGCCCCAGUUAAAUGUUGUCUUUUGUACGAGUUGCCUUGGUCAUGGUGUCUCUUCACAGCAGUAAAACCCUAAGACAGGAUACAUCCAAACCUGUGUCUAGGACUUAGGAACCUGGCUGCAAAGGCAAGCCCUGUCUUGUAUAUCUAGUAUGGACAUUGCCUGUGGAAAGAUGCUGCUAAGUUAAACCCCCUACCUCCUGGUGAUAUGGAGGAGUCAGGGAAUGAGAGAGAGAGAGAGAGAGAGAGAGAGAGAGAGAGAGAGAGAGAGAGAGAGAGAACAUGGUAUCAGAGCCAUAUUUAGUCCAUAGGACAUAGAACAGGGCUAGGGCGAUAGGCUUCCUUGUGAGGACUAUAUAAAUGUAAAUGUGUUCCUACUGUGCCAAACCAGGAUACAUGUGGAGACAAGAAUCUAUUGGAGCUUCUAAAUUUGAAGUUUUAGAGCUGAAGAGGGUAGGUUGGGAAGGCUGACUUCAAGUGAUUCAUCUCCUUAGCCAAGUUCUGAGUUUCAGAUUUUUCUCAUCUCUUCCCAAUCCGGGUUCAAGCUCAGCUCUGCCACCCUAACCAUGGGACUGAACCCACCUGCCAUCUUUCUUUGUAAGGUAUUCAUGUCUGCAUUGUCUAUGACCCUCUCCCAGAUAUGGAAGACCUUCACAAGCCUUAACCUUUAAGCUUCUCUCUUACACUCUUUCCCAGGAUGCAAACAGCAUCUAUAAGGGAGCAAUCCCUCAGCCAAGAGAGUGGGAAGAGCUAGCUCAGUGAUGAGCACACCUCUGUUGGUACAUGGGAGAGGCCAGAGCACUGGGUGCUCCGGGAAAUGCACUUGAGGAUGGGCUGCAAAGUCCUGCCCUCAGUUCAGAGGAAGCUCACUCACUCUUCGUUGUCCUCCAGCUCACCCCUCUCUGUCCAGCUUCUGCUCCCCAUGCCAAGGAUAGAAGAACAGAGGAGUCUUUUUUUUUUCUUUUCUUUUUUUUUUUUUUUUGGAGCUGGGGACUGAACCCAGGGCCUUGCGCUUGCUAGGCAAGUGCUCUACCACUGAGCCAAAUCCCCAACCCCAGAACAGAGGAGUCUUAUCAUGAAAUCAAGGGACAGCCACCCCCUCAAAGGCAUCCCCCUUGCAAGACCCGCACUGUCACUUGCUACCUUCACUAUAUCUCCACCUUCUGGCCAAACUCUACCCCUAGCCAGUGUCUUCCUAUUCUCAAAUUGGACAAGGUCUUUAUUUCUUUUAUUUUGUUUAUGUGUGAAUGCAGAUAUGUGCCUACCAUAGUGCAUGUGUGGAGGUCAGAGGACAACUCUUUGGAGCCAGUUUCCUUCUGCCACCUUAUGAGACAUGGGGAUUACACUUGGUUCCUCCAGCCUGCAUAGAAAGGCCUUUAACUACUGAGUUAAUCUUACCAGUCCAGGGCAAAGGUUCUUUUCACUACAGGGCUGUACAGUCCAUGUUCACACCCUGAGCUGUGUUAGCCUAAGAACUCAGAGUGACUAUGGCAGCUCCAGCCAUCACACUCAUGUUAAGAGAGAAAUGACACAAAGAUGUGUCUUUCCUUUGCAACAGUGGAGACUCCAUGAGAAGAACUCCAGCUACCUAUUCUACCAGCCUGGCUGACUGCCUGCAGACCUGUCUCCAGACACAUGUCUGGAGUGUUGCAGAAAGGACAAUGAACAAGUGCCACCAUGAGACCUUUGCUGAGAUCAAAACCUGUGUGGAAUGCCUUUGCCUCAUGCACAUAAAGGUUCAAUCCUGGGGAGAAACUGCAACUUGGAAUCCCUGAGUGGCUUGUCACAAAGCAGUGCUAGGACCCUCCUUUCUGCCUCAGACUACAGCCCAGUGAGAUGCCUCUGCAGGAGCUUUCAAAAAGGGUGACUCUUGUCAAAAUGGCAGCACCACAACAUCUCAGUCUGCAACUGUUUCAGGAGCUGUCCAAGGUGGCGCAUCUCCUUCCCCACUUCAGCCUAUAGAAACAAGAAGGCAAGAGCUGUCCCACAGGUAUUGUUCACAGUGGCAGCACCUCCUCUCCAGCCCUGGCCUUCCCCAGCAGUCCUACAGCAAAAGUCAGGCUGAAGUUGGGAAGGACUUCCCACCCUAGCCCAUGGGUCUGAUGCAGAAGGAGGUGAAAAAAAGCUACCAAUCUCUAAGCAGGAAAACCAAUCCCUGAGCUCCCCACCUCCCCCACCCCACCCCCACCCAAAACAAUCCCUAAGCACAAAAAAACCACCAAUCCCUGAAUAGCAACCCCCAACAACCCCUGAGCUCCCCAAGCUCAGGACAUGAAAUCCCACCAAUCCUCACUCUGGUAAUCUCUGCCCUGAGAAGCUAUGCCCCCUCAGAAAGUGUAGGUUGAUAUCCUUACACAGGUGAAGGCAGGUACAGGAUAAAGUGAGGCCUGUCAUUGGAUGAGGGGAAAGGGAGGUGGGAGCAGAGGUUUUAGAAGGGGAGGGAGGAGCAGCAUGGAAAGAGAAGUAAACGGUCCUCACCAUGCAUCUCUACAUAGAUACAGGUUGUUGUAAAUAUUUCUUAAGGGAUGGAUUUCUAUAGGCAAAUUUAUCCUAUCUAGGUGGGCAGUUUAUAUCCUUAUCAAUCGGUUGUAAGUUAAUUGUGUGGAUGUUUGUACAUUGAUUGUUUAACAUAUAAAUCUGGUUGUUGGAUUACAGUUUGUUGAGUCAUGACUUAACUGGAUUGUUGGGAGUGUGAGCAGAGUCCAUGACAGGAAAUCAUGCUAAGCUAUAGAAUGUUUAGGGCUACUGUGUCAUGGGGCCACACUAGCACAUCCUGCAGAGCGUGAUGUGUGUGUCAGGCAUGGUAACAACCCACCAAGGGGGCUUCACAGAGUGUGAAAGUGGCUGACAGAGAAACAGCUAGAGCACGAGGAUCUGCAUGGAGUGGGAACUCAUGGGAAUUUGUUGUGCGCAUUUUUAAUUAUACCGCAACAAGAAAGCCUAUAUAAUCAGUGCCCCUUUGUCCAAUUCCCUGCUGUCCACUCCCAGGAGCAGAGGGCAGCCAUCCUUGGGUUUGUCCCUCCACACCCUGAACCUUCCAAUAUAUCUUUUUCAUGAGAUUUGCUGUCUGAUGUGACUCUCAUUGGAAGAAGCCAAGAAGAAAGAAGCAAUGAGAAGAAGGAGUAGGGCUGAGGCUCCUGAGAUCCUCAGCUCAGCUGGUGAAAUCCUCCCCUGGGAGCCGCAAUGCCUCUGCUGAAGAGGCUUCCUUUUAGAGCCCUCUGGUUCCUGGGCUCCUGUGUCUCAGGAUACCCUUCCACUGGGACACUGUCCCAUAUCAGAGCUGUGUGGUUCCUGGACCCUCAUGUCUCAGGAUAUCCUUCCACUGGGAUACAUUUUCCCUUCAGAGCUAUAUGGUUCUUCGACUUCCCAAGUCCUAGGAUACCCUCCCAUCCAAGCAGAAGCACUUACACAACUGCCUUGUCUUGAAUUCCAGUAUGGGGUGGGAUGUAGACCAUAGAUCUCAGUAAGUGUUGGGUGGGUGUUGUCCCCAUUCACUUUCUACUGUUGUGAUAAGCACCACAAACCAAUGUAACUAGGGGAGGAAAGGAACUAUUUGGCUUACAUGCCACAAUCACAGUCCAUCACUGAUGGCUGUCAAGGCAGUAACUGAAGCAGGGCAGGAACCUGGAGGCAGGAACCUGGAGCAGAGACCAUGAAGGAAUGGUGUUUACUGGCUUGCUCCUUGUGGCUUUUGUAAAGAGCUUAGGCCUGCCUUCCUAGGCGUGGGCUUGGCCCACCCAUAUCAAUCAUCAAUCAAGAAAAUGCCCUACAUAAUUCCAGGCUUGCCUACAGAUUAGUCUGAUAGAGGCAUUUUUCCAAUUUAGGUUCCCUUUCCCCAGAUGACUGGAGCUUGUGUCAAGCUGACAAAAAAUAUCCAGUAUAAGCGGUCCUCUGCCUGCAUAUUUAGCAAUGUAAGAUAUCAACAACCCAUCCUAACAGCACCCAGUGUUGGUCCCAGAAGCCAUGACCAGAAACAUUCAUCAAACUACAAGGAAUCGCAGAGAUCACUCUAUUCCGUUAUCUCUGGGAUGACCCCCACCUAGCAGAUGCAUUCCUGUUUUCUAAUAGAAUUUGAAUCUCUCUUACAUCCCAGUCCUGUAUCAGAAGCUCUUGUGAUGUGGUUGGGUGUGGGAAUCUCAUGAGAUGAUUCCUACACGAGUAGAAGAUGGAUGAGCUCUGUUGUAAGAGAUACUGAUAGAGAUGGGGUGGGUGGUGCCUUGACAGAGCAGUGUGGACUACACAGUAAACGGAGCCUGAAUACCAAGAAGUUCCAAUAGUUUAUUCAAAACUUAGUCCUGUUAAGAGAUGGACUUAGCUCCACUGAAACUUUAAAGAACUUCUUUGAUUUGACAAGGGUUUAAGUGCUGGGCAGCCCCAAAGCAUAAACAAUUUUGGCUCCACCAAGAGGCAUGAGGAGAAAACUUGGAUACAUUGCUUGCAGAAGCGAAGCAGAAAGUACUUGAUUGUCUAAGCCGAAAAGUUGCAAGAGGUUUGUUGGCUGUUGGUUUCUGCUUGGUUAGUCUCAAAUUAAAUUACGCUGUGUACACAGAGAUAGCUUCAGGUUGUGUGUGUAGGAAGUCCCAGAUGCUGGCAUUGACUCUGCCUGAUGACUUCCCCAUUAGAAAAAGGGACAAAGAGACGAUGAUACACGGAAAUCACAGGCAGCCAUGCGAGGCCUCAAGACAUUAGUUACUAGCCCAGUACAGCCAGAUGGAGUUUUCUCAAAAGAGUUUGGGUGUACAGUGCCACAACCUAUCUGGUUUUCCACCUCUCUCCUUCGCGUCUUCCCUCCUUGCCUUCCUCUCCUGUCUCCUCCCUCCCUUAUCUUCUUCCUCUUUACGUCCUCCUUCCUCCUUCAUCGAUGGCCUUUCUCUUUCCCUUCCCUGUCUUGCAUUCAUGUGCUUCCUCCUACGCCCCAAAAUUUAAACUUCUCCCCCAACUAAAGCCUGUUGCUGUUUCGGAGUAUGAUCCAGUGUGGUUCUGACUCCUGGCCAACGAAAGCCUUAACACAAUUGACACGAAGACGAUGAGUUACUCCAGCCAUCUAGGACAACAAAUAACACACUUUCCUUUCUCUGUCCCACUUUUGCUGAAGGGACAACCUCUUUUCCUUCCCUCUGCAGGAAUUUCCAGAUCAACAGCCUGGCAUCCGGCACUGAGUGGAGUCCCUGGGAUUCUGCAUUGGCCCCUCUCAGCACACGGCUUCCUGUUUUCUCUAUUCUCUUCUCUUGCUAUCCUCUUCCUCUUGGUUUCCUGCCCUCUUCCGCACAUAGCCUAUGCUCCUAGUGUCUCUUAUCUGUCCCUUUUCUCAUUCUCUUUCAUCUACUUGUGGAGAAGCUCUGUUCCUGUGGCGGGGUGGGGACAGGGGAGGGGCACGGAGGCGCAGAUCCAUGUAUUAGCAGGGACUUUGGCCUUUGUAAAAUCCAACCCUUCGCUAAGUAUUCUGGGUAGUUAGAGUUAUUUAGAAGGCAAGAUUAGAGCCCUGUUGUAGUUGCACCCACUAUCUGCUUUUACCAGCAUAAAUCUAACUCAAAAGGGAUUAGGAACAUCUAACAAAGUUCCCAUUCCCUCAAGGAAUACUCCAGUCCCACAAGUUCCAGCAGGAAAGGCGGAGUUCUAUCUCCUUUCUGGAAGAUACACUUCCGGCCAGCCGCCUCCAUAGCAGAUAGCAUUUCUUCAUCACACUCUAUCAUUUUCUCAUGGUGUCAGAUUUUUACUCAGAGAUACACUUCUUCUGCUUGUUACACACCUGCCUUCUCCCCAAACUCUUCCAGCUGUGCAGCCUAUACAAGAUUGGGUACCCUCUAUGACAGGCUGAACCAACUGUUCCCUCAUUCUCCAGGAUCUGUUCCUAAUCUUUUUUUUUUUUAAUGUACUCAAGACAGGUCCUGCCAGGCACUAGCAAGCCAAGAAGAGCCUAAACAGCAGCUUAAACCCAACACGUUUGGAUGGAACGGUGUGGUCCUGAGAGUCAGCUCACCUUUGCUGCCUGCCUCCUAGAGUAGGCUAAGCUACAGCUUCUGUAGCAGGUGUCCAAUGGGUCCUGGCUUGCCUGUGUGAUGGCCUUAAGACCCUUUUGGGCACUGAGCAUAGCUAAUAUUAUUGUUGCUGUCCAUCUCCUUUAAUCCCACUCAGGAACGGUCUCGUCAUUGUGCCCAGUACAAUCAUGAAUGAAGAGAGUAAGGGACAUCUCCAAGCUCUCAGGCCAAGAAGGUGGCAGAGUGGGGACACAGGAUCCUUGCCUCCAGGCCUCUCAAUUUGGAAACAAAGAAAGUGACAAGGCAUACUUAAUUAGGGCCUCUUUGUCUUUCCAUCUAAGUCCCCCCCCCAUUUUACCCUUUUGAACUCAUAUGACAUAAAUCUUACUAAUGUGGUUUUGAUAAAAUGCUUUAAAAUGUGUGAAUUUAUUCUUAAACGAAGAAUAAUUAAUUAAAGGCCACAUUUCUGUUUCAUCAAACGGAACAUUAUUGAACCUCCAGAAAGUUUUCUUGGGUUUCAUAAGGCAGAGGAGUAUUCUGAAUGUGUAUUUUUGUAAUCAAAAAUAAGUCUUUGAGGGUCUUUUGCCAUGAUCCUCUUUCCUCAGCCCCAAGUGUUGGGAACUUCAGGUGUGGUGUGUGAACUACGUCUGCAGUUUGUUGUUUUUGUCUAAAAAUAAGGGAAAAAAACCCUUCAUUCUGUUCUGACAAUGAGCUAUAUUUUCUUCAUUGUCUACUUAAGAAAAAAAGAAGAAGAGCAACCCUUCAUUUCUCAUCACUUUCUGCAUCCAGGAAGCAGGAAAUAUGACAUCACUUCCAGCAUGGCAAUAAUGGGCAUAGUUGUCUGCAUAUUAAGAAGCCAUUUCCCCCCUUCCUUUGACAUCUUUUACAGUUAUAUUAUAUGUAGUGAUGGGCUUAUAACAUUUUCAUACAUGUACAGGAACUUUGUUUUGAAUGUACACAGGAGAUAAAACAUUUUUUAAAUAUAGCUCUUCCUUGGGCUGUGUCAGAUUGGACUUAUGAGAGAAAACCAACCAAAAGGGAAUGCUAGGUUCUUCGGAGUUCUGAGGCUGCUGUAGGCCCAUGGCAUUUCUGGCAGAGCCUUUGAAAAGCCUUGUUUUCAGUUCUCCCAUUGUUAGAUGAGAUUUACAAUCUGCUGCCGAGAUCCUGAGAGGAGACAUCGAAGGAUGGCCACGCGCUUUGAAAGCACUAACUGGUUAUUAAUGAUUUAGGGACACAGCAGUCUCUGCGUGCUGCAGAAAGGAGCAUGCGACAUCUCAUUUUAUCACCUACCAUGCCUAUGAAAUGUCCCCCACCCUGGACUUCUCAGAAAACCAUCUGAAUCCUUUAAAAAGAGACUUUAAAAUUAGUUCUCAUUUUAUAAUGCUCAAUGUACUCUCAAAGCAGUUGUCUUGUUGUGCUCCUAAGAAAAAACCCUGAGUGGUAUAAAUAAUGCACAGCCAGCCCUCCCGGUGUGUGGACUGCACGGCUGUGGACUCAAGCACCCUAAGAUUGAGAUAUUCUUUUUUUAGAGAAGCAUCUGCACUGAACAUGUACAGGCUUUUUUCUUUGUCAUUGUGCCCUAAGAAUUCAGCCUAACUACUAAGAGAUAUUUUACACUGCAUUAGCUACUAUAUGAAAUCCAGAGAUGGCUUGUAUGUAGGACUAUAAGCACAAGCUAUAUCAUGCCAUCAGAUGUACCAAUCUAACCAAAGAGACUUGAGCUUGCAAAGAUUUUUGCUAUCUAUGCCGCUGGGCAAGGCAGGAUUUUAGAACCAAUUCAGGGAGAUUCCAAGGCACAACUAUAUUUUUUAUUAUUUGAAAUGGGGCUACAAGGAAUAGAAUGCUCUAUACAUUUCUAUUUAUACAAAGAAGUGUUUAUUAAUGUUAUUCUCAUGUAAGGAAAAGUCUAAGGUAAGGGACUAAUGGAAAAUGUUGAUUCCAUAGCAACAUCAAACAUCCAAUGUCACUGUAUCUUUUGCCUUUAUAAUCCUUGAUAAAUUGGCUUGUCACUUCCUGAUCUCAAAAUGGCUGCUACAGUUUCUCAAGACAUACUUAUUUUGAAGGUAUGAGCUGCAAAGAGAGAAAUCCCCACUAACUAUAUUUGUUCCUUGUUUAUUUUUAUUUUUUAUUAACAAUGUUUACUUCACAAAUUGUUCUUCUAUCACACGAACCACUGAGGCAAGAAAAUUAGAAAGUGUAUCAGUUACUUUUCUUUGCUGUGAUAACACCAAGACAAAACAAUCUAUUGGGGGAAGAGUUUAUUUGGGCUUACAGUCUCAGGGGGUUAGAGUCCAAGAUGGCAGAUGGGAGCCAAUGGUGGCUGGCAUAAUGGCUGGAGCAGCAGGCAGAAGACUCAUUUUUGAACUUCAAAAACCAAACAUAAAGUAAAUUAGGCAUGGCGAGAGUCUUUAAACUCUCAAAUAUCACCUCUACCAUCAUAUUUCCUCUCACGAAUCCUAACCUCUAAACAGCACCGUCAAUUAGAGAUCAAGCAUUCAAAUGCUUGAGACUGUGGGAGACAUCUCAAUCAAACUACCACAGAAAGCAGUGUGAGUAUUUUAUUCUUGCUGCUGUUGUCUUUUCUUCCCCAGUGUGUCCUUCUGGCUUGAGUGGAGGGAAGCCGAAAGGAAAAGGGACCAAGGUCAGAGAAGAGUCUCAGGGAUGUCCUCUGUGCUUUGAUGAAGAAAGUCCUUUUGACACACGAUAGCUAUGUAAAAGCCAGUUUCUUGGAGCUAUGGAAAUAUGUGACAAUAGUUUCUAAACCUAACUAGUAUUUUAAGAUAGAUGAGGGCCACUGCAAUGGUCACACUUCCCAGAGCACUACCCAUUUCACGAUGCUACAGAUAUAGGUUUUUCUCCCUAGCAGAUGCAACAGUCCCAUCUUGCUAGUGUUUCUGAGCAGUUGCCUUUAAUCUGUUUUCAAAAAAAAUCCUCUGCCUCCUUUUUACUUUCCUUGUUUUCUAAUUAUCAAGAGAAGCACAGUGAGGUCACAAUGAUGAAUCCGUUAGAAGAAUGAGUCACUUAGCAGAGAACUGCUGUGGGAAAGGCAAAUGUGUGGGUCCCGCUGGAAUCAGUUGGGGGUUUCUUCAGAAAAAGCUGGAAGCAGACAAUGUAGCAAAGGGAGCAACUGCUUUAUGGGAGGGUGGGGGCAACUGGGUGAAGGGAAGGCACUGUCAGUGCUGCAUGCCAAGGGCCAGGAGUGGCAACCAAGGCCUCCCAACUGCCUCUCACACUGAGAAAAACACUGAACAUCUCCAGAGAAAACUCCACAGACCCCUGCCACAUUUGCCGGUAGAUGGAGUGCACCGCAAAACCAGAGCCUGACAUAUACACAGCUUCUUAAAGCAGUAGUUCUCAACCUAUGGGUGGAGUCCCCUAUGGGGUGCCAUAUCAGAUAUCCUGCCUCUCAGUUGUCUACAUUAUGGUUUAUAACAGCAGCAAAAUUACAGCUAUAGAGUAGAAACAAAAUAAUUUUGUGGUUGGGGAUCACCACAACAUGAGGGACUGUGUUAAAGGGUUGCAGCAGUAGGAAGGUUGAGAACCACUGCCUCAGAGACUUUAAACACAUACAAUUUGUAUGGUGCUUGGGGAUUUGGAAAAGGCAGAGUCUAGUUUGCAUUCCUUGCAAAAUUCUCAUUACUAGAGUUCUUACGGCUGCCACCGAACUCCAAUCUACCAUGCCCAUAGCUAGCAAAUGUGGGCAGAGGCAAGAAUCUCGCGGCUUACAGCAAAAGAAGAUUCCCUUCGGUGUGGACUUAAUGGACUCCAUCUGUUCUUAAAUUCUACGGACAAAGGCUUAAUUUAGGAUUGGAAUAUAAAACUAACAGUCGUUCUCCGAGGAUUUAGUUAGUGCUAGGUUCUACAUGUCUGUCUUUGAAUCUCACAGCAACCCUAAAGUGGCAGGAAGUGUUCAGCGAGCCAGCAUUGAGCUAAGGAACCCGAGGUGCGGAAAGAUUAGUUUGUUGGACAACAUAGGAAAGACAGGAGGAGCAGAGCCACUGGGUUUCACAGCAUGGCUCCUGAGUUUGGCUUCUCACAGCUAGAGCUCAGUGCUACCUUCAGCUUGCCUGACAUGCAGGGCAGUGCUGGAAGGACUGGUCACUAGUAGUUACUGGUAAGUUACUGCUCACUGCUCACCCUCUAAACAAUGUAGGCAUUUGGGACUGGAUGACUCUUCCAGCGGUGAUUGAAGAUGGCACUGUUAAAGGACCGUCCACUGUUCUGCCCCCUCCAAUUGCUUCUAAUCUCCGUCAGAUUUAAAGCGACAUUUUGCCCAAGAGUCUCCUCGAGACUUCAAUUCACAUCAAAAGCGACUUCUUUUUGGAAGAAAUCCUCCCAAGUCAAAGAUGUGUUAGUAGCUUUUUCGGUGUCUUGAUCUCUACACUCCAGGGUCAAAAGAGAGAAACUGACAGAGAGACAACAACCCCUGAGAGAGACCAACCCAGGCUGAAGCUGUGCAGGAGCCACCUGUGUCCCUGAUGUGUGCAUUUUGUCUAAGCUCCGCCCAACAGUUACCUGGCAACGGCCAGGUAUGCUCCGCCCCCAGUUACUUGGCAACAUCCAGGUAUGCCUGACGACUAUAAAAGGAGCUGCUUGCCUCCUCCUCACUCUCUUGCUCUGUUGCUCUUCCCUUCCUGCUCCCACCCUCUCCCCAUCCCCCAUCCCCCCCAUCCCCCCCCCCCCCCCGUCUCUCUCCACGUGCUCAUGGCCUGCCGCUACUUCUCUACUUCUCUACUUCUGUACUCUCUCUUUCUCUCUCUGGCUUUCUCUGCCUCUACUACCCUCCUGCUCCUCUUUCCAUGCCCUGAAUAAACUCUAGUCUAUACUAGACCCUCAUGUGGCUGGUCCCUUAGGGGGAAGGGAUGCCUCAGCAUGGGCCCGCUGAGGUACCCCUUCCCCAAUACCUCACCACACAUUCAUCAGAACAUAUCCCUUCUCACUUUAUCUUUUUAUAAACACCUUACCUGGUACUUGGGAAUCCUCUCAAAACCUGACCAAUACUGUCCCUGUGUUCUGGCUAUUUGCCACUAUGAACUCAUAAAUCAUCCCAACGCUCACUGGCCUAAAAUAAUCCUUUAUUUAUUUUUCUCAUGAAUCUGUAGUUUGGCAGCUGGAAGAGGCCAGGUGCCCUGUUUAGCUAAAGUAGAUGGAAGACUGAGGAUUCCCGAAUGUCAAAGAUCCUAGUUCCUACUCACUCACCAGCCUAAGGCUGGUGUGUGUGUGUAUAUGUGUGUCUGUGUGAGUGUGUCUGAGUGUGUCUGUGUGAGUGUGUCUGUGGAAUAUGUCUGUGUGUGUCUGUGUGUGUGAGUGUAUGUCUGUAUGUGUGUGUGUCCGUGUCUACGUCUGUGUGUGUUUGUAUGUGUCUGUGUGAGUGUGUCUGAGUGUGUCUGUGUGUGUCUCUGUGUGUGUGUAUGUCUAUAUGUGUAUGUAUGUCUGAAUAUGUGUGUGUGUCUGAGUGUGUCUGUGUGUGUCUCUGUGAGUGUGUCUGUAUGUGUGUGUGUUUGUAUGUGUCUGAGUGUGUCUGUGUGUGUCUCUGUGUGUGUGUAUGUCUGUAUGUGUGUGUGUAUGUCUGAAUGUGUGUCUGUAUGUGUGUGUGUGUGUCCGUGUCUGUGUCUGUGUCUGUGUGUCUAUGUGUGAUGCUGUCCGCUGAGAUCUGUCAGUGGUGUGACUUGCUUUCCUUACAACAUGAAACCUCAGCACAGAUCCUGGGAGGAGAGGACCAGUGGGCAGCCAUAGUGUCUUUUAGUACUUAGCCUUGAAUUAAGACAGUCCCUUCCAAAAGUCUCAGGACCCAGAUUCAAAGGAAGUGCCAGGGACACCUUGUGAAGAGCAAAGGCAGUUGAAAGCUAGCUCAGAUGAAUGCUGCUGGGGAACUUUCUCCUUGGGGGAAGGACACCGUGUGGUAAAGGGGUGGACCCUUUCAGAUACCACUGCAAAACAAAGCACAAGUAUGUUGCUCAGAAUUUCAGUUUGUAUGCUAAUUCAACAUUUGGGAAAAGCUUAUUCAAUUCAAAUUAUUUUCAUAAUUUUGAGUGAAAUUUUUUUUUUCUGGUUCAGGCCUUUUCUAGCAUAUGCAUACUCUGAAGGUUCUUUAUUAUUUAGAUUAUUUCCUUUGUGUGUUUUAUUGUGGGUUUUGCCUGCAUAUGUCUGGACAAAUCUUACAUGCCUGAUGCCUGCAAAGGCCAGAAGAGGGUGUGGGAACACCUGGAACUGGACUUACAGACAUUCAUGAGCUGCAGUGAUGGCAGUUGAACCCUUGACCCCUGGAAGAGCGUCCUUGCUCUUAACCACUGAACUGUGUUGCCAGGCCCCUGCAAGUUCCAUUUUAUCCACCACAGAAUGUUGCUAAAGAUGGCUUCUCUGGCUCUCUGACUGACAACAAUAAAACUAUCUUGGGUACAGGAAUCCUUUUCAGUAACAGUUUAGGACACUUGGUGUCAGUGCUUUGAGUGUGGAUGGGUGGAGGGUGCAGAGAGAGGGGGAGAUGAGUAGAACAAAAGCAAAGCCAUGCAGCUGCCUUGGAUGUGUGGGCUUUCCAGUGACAGUGGGGACAGUAGGGCAGACUAGGGAAACAAUUAUGUAAAAUAUACAAAGAAACGGACAUUUCCCCACUAUCUCGGGCUUUUCCUGGAGACCUUAUAAAUAGCACAAGUGACUAACCCUUCCUUUCCCUCCUCUGCCACAUGCUGGGUGACAAGGCAGGAAAAAUAACCAGAUAAGCCCCAGCCUAGAGAAGCAUUUGUUCUUGUUUGUCCAUGUUAAGUUUCCUGAUCCAACUGUGUUGGGGAUUGAAUAGUCAAACUUACAAUAGUCAAACAGUACAGAUUUCAUCCUCUCUCUCUCUCUCUCUCUCUCUCUCUCUCUCUCUCUCUCUCUCUCUCUCUCUCUCUCUGUCAUCAAAAAUCAUAGCCUAGAGAUUUUACAAGGUGAGCCGAGUUGAUGUGAGCCCUUUAGAAGAAAACAUCUAUAGAUGUGUGGUCAUUAAAGACAUAAACCAAGGCUCUUUCUUCUGCCUCCUAACUCUCAUAGACAAACACAGACAUCGUUCUGUAUACCAUGUGACCAACACUCAUUUAUACCAUGAGAGCAAUCAUCAGAAAGAAAUGAGCUCUUCCAGGCAGAAUACUGAUUCCGUCCCUGCUUUGCCUGCUUCCUCCCUGAGCUUUUUCUCUCCCUUACAACACAUCAGCUAUUAAGAGCCCAGGUCCUGUUGCACUCUUCGGGCUUUCCUUCCACCAGCCUGGUGCUUACUGUUUGGGUCCUUGGAAAGAGAAGAGCCUUCCAAAUGCCAAGUUUGAACAUCAGAACUUGGAUACUGAUCAUUCUUGUUCCAGUGCGAUGGCAGGAUGGGGGAAAGGAAUAUCUUUGUUAGAAGGAGGUGAUGCAGGUGGCGAUGGUCAGAGUGUGUGAAUCAGCCAGAGUCCUGUUUUGAAAUGCUAGCCAAAGUCGUUUCGGUGUAACGUGCACCUUUAAUUUUCCCUUUUUGUUUUCCCUCUUUAACUUUAUACCAUAAUGUCCAAUUCAGAUAGUCAAUGAGAUGUAACAUAGGAAAUUAAAAGGGGUUUGGACAUUCCCCAGAGCCCAUAGCAAGAUUUUUCCCCCUAACAAUACAGCUUGUUCACAACUUUUUAGAAUAGCCUCAAACGGAGUUUUCCUGUACUAAGUUUGAGAUUUUGAAGUCAAAACAGGACAUUAAAAGAAGGGAAUCAUGUGAAAGAGAAGUCUGCCUUUCUCUUCAUUUAAGAAAGUGAACUCUCGGGUCCCACAGGAUCAAAUCUCAGUAUAUUUAAUUCCUAAAGGCUCUACUCCAAAUACUGUCACAACUGGAGCUAGGACUUCAUCAUAUAAUUACUGAAGGGUAGAAAAAUUCAGUCUAUAGUGGGAAGGUUCUGGAGUGUUCUAGUCAUUGUGACAAGCUUUCUUCUUUCCCUGGGGAGAACCUCAUUCCUGUUGUACACCUAGCUUGGGAGAUAAGAGACAGCAAUGGCCGAGGAGCCUCAGCACAGCACCUGAGACCACAUCCAUAAGAUCCCUCUGGGCCUGUGGCCCAUGGAGGAGCAUCAGUGAUUCCUCCAAAGGAAGGGCUCAGGAAAAGCCCAGGGGCAAACGAAAAGGCUCAUUGUAGCAGGUCCUAACAGCUUCGUUAGGGUGGUACUCACAUUCUGGCACCUUCUUACCUUGACAUUUACAGGCUGUGAGCAAGGUUAUGACAGCAUGCACAUGUAACGUUGGUGCUUGGAAGUUGGAAGCAGGAGGAUGAGGAGCUCAAAGUUGCCACCAGCUACCUUGAACUCUUGGGGUAGCUGAGACUACAUAAGACUUUGUCUGUAAAACCAAACACAGGGACUGGAUGCAUGGUUCAGUGGUUCAAAGUGUAUUCUGUUCCUUCAGAGGAACUAAGGUCAGUUUCCAACACCCAUAUAUGGGGGCUCGCAAAUGCCUGUCACGCUAGGUCCAAGGAAUCUGACUCCCUCUUCUGGCUCCUUGGGUACCUGGACUCAGAUAUGCUCAUAUGUAUAAUUUUUAAAAAUAAAAAUAAUUUUUUAAGAAGACCCAAAACAAACAAAUGAAUGACAUAGGAAAGGGGAGAGUAAAAUAGUAUGGCUCGUGAAAUAAAGGGAAUUCAUUUUUGC